rnacentral:rRNA from 1 species
GAUGAACGCUGGCGGCGUGCCUAAUACAUGCAAGUCGAGCGAACAGACGAGGAGCUUGCUCCUUUGACGUUAGCGGCGGACGGGUGAGUAACACGUAGGUAACCUACCUAUAAGACUGGGAUAACUUCGGGAAACCGGAGCUAAUACCGGAUAAUAUUUCGAACCGCAUGGUUCGAUAGUGAAAGAUGGCUUUGCUAUCACUUAUAGAUGGACCUGCGCCGUAUUAGCUAGUUGGUAAGGUAACGGCUUACCAAGGCAACGAUACGUAGCCGACCUGAAAGGGUGAUCGGCCACACUGGAACUGAGACACGGUCCAGACUCCUACGGGAGGCAGCAGUAGGGAAUCUUCCGCAAUGGGCGAAAGCCUGACGGAGCAACGCCGCGUGAGUGAUGAAGGUCUUCGGAUCGUAAAACUCUGUUAUUAGGGAAGAACAAACGUGUAAGUAACUGUGCACGUCUUGACGGUACCUAAUCAGAAAGCCACGGCUAACUACGUG